rnacentral:lncRNA from 1 species
GAUAAAUCCUCUAAAUCUUUUAAUAUCCUUAUGAGAUAUUAUUCUUAAACUUCAAAAAUUCAUCUUUCAAUUAGACCGUUCAAACACACUCAAAUUUUAUAUGAAGUACUCAUGUACUUUUAUCAACUUCUAUAACAAAUUUUAACUCCAAAUUCAUUACGGAUCUUGAGAAAUCUUAAAAAUCCUAACAAUAGCUUCAAACCCUAGUUUUUAUACACCCAUAUGCAAUUUCCUUCAUAUCUCACAAAUUAAAUACUUAAAGGCUACAAAUUUUAUAUUUUUAUUUUUUUAACACAAUUGAAUACCUUUUCCAAAAGAUUUGAGUCAAAAAUUCUUAUAAGAACUCAAGAUAUGGCUCCAACUAUUACUAUGAACAAAACCACUUACUUACUACCUUUGAUUUGGAAGCAUCGCCUUCAACUCCUUAUAUCUCCUUUAUAUGAACUUUAAAAG